CAGCACCUCAAGUGGUCAGGAUGAUUAUUGGGCCUAAAGCAUCCGUAGCCGGCGCUGUAAGUUUUCGGUUAAAUCUGUACGCUCAACGUACAGGCUGCCGGGAAUACUGCAGCGCUAGGGAGUGGGAGAGGUAGACGGUACUCGGUAGGAAGGGGUAAAAUCCUUUGAUCUAUUGAUGACCACCUGUGGCGAAGGCGGUCUACCAGAACACGUCCGACGGUGAGGGAUGAAAGCUGGGGGAGCAAACCGGAUUUGAGACCCGAGUAGUCC
rnacentral:rRNA from 1 species